CAUUCACAUGCCUCCCAUCUGACUGGUUCCUGCUGCCACACUCAUUGGCUCUGACCCUAGUUUGAUCAAGCUCCUCCUCUGCUCAAACACCUUUCCAAGGCUCCCCACAUCCAGAACAAAAUACAGCCCCCUUUGCUGGGCACUCAGUGCCUCCUGCGGUCUGGUCAAUCUCCUCUCUCACUAACCACCUUCACUCUUUGGUUGGUUCAACCGGACUGAACUACACUUGGUUUUCCAUCUGAGUCCCACAAUUCUCAUCCUCUGUGCUUCUUCUCUUGUUCAUCCCAUCUCCUGAAAUGUCCCCCAAUCUGCCUUCCCAUAACCGAAUUCUAUCCAUUAUUCAAGGGCCAGUUCAAUUCUUCUAAGAAGUUUGCCCUGAAUUCCACAACUGAGUGAGAGUACUCCAUCAUCAGAUGUGCUUGAUUCAUCUCGGAGUUUAACCCAGCGUGUGACACCCAGGAGCCAGUGUCCUGGGCUAAACACAAGAGUGCUGAUUCCCACUGUAAGUUACAGUGAAGAACUUCUGCUAUCUGAGGGCAUGUGUUUUCAUCUUCAAAAAAGGAUGGACAGUCCCCAUGAACCUUCCCUCUCCAACCACACAGGCCUUGCUUCUGGACAUGCAGUGAUAACUCUCUGUUUGCUGGAUGAAGAUCAUGUUGGCUCUAUGCACAUUCAGAUAACCUUCUACACCAGACACCCCUGGUGAUUGCUCUAUAAAUCAUAUUGGCCAGGAGAAAGGAUGUUCAGUUCCCUAGGCUUUUCAUCAUGGUCAAUUAGGGAAUCAGCCCAAAAGGUCAGCAUCACUGCCCUUAAAUGAGGUCACACUCCAUGCACUCUGAGUACCCCGGAAAGCUGUGGUGCUGGUGAUUAAUGCAUGUGUCCAGACACCUGGUUUCAACGAGGCAAAUCCCUGGCAUACAAUCCCAGCUUGUCUCUUCUCACUGUGUGUAUUUCUCGAGCUGGCCUGUCACCAUGCAAAGAGUAUUUUGAAAAUGCAGUUUAUGCUCAUCUUGGAUGCAGCUGAGAUGCCAUGGAAAGAAGUCAGACUUUGGAAUAGGAUGGGUCUCAGGAUUUGGGAGCAUGUUCCAUUAUCCCCUCAAGUUUUGAUUCCCUCAUCUGUUAAAGGUUAUUGUGAGGAUAAGAUAUAAUGCCUUUCAAGUGCUUGAUGAAGGGCCUGAACUAUAUCAGGUACUCAUGAAUGUUUAGUAUGAUGCAAAUUUCAAGAUUAAUAAUAAAAGAAGCUGCACCAGACUGCUAUUGCUUCCCUAAAUGUGAUGUGUGCUUUCAUAACUCCUGCUCCUCAGCCACAGAGUUUCUUCUGCCUGCAAUAGCAUUUCUUCCCCGACAAGCUUUUUCAAAUCCCCAAGUAAGCAUCC
rnacentral:lncRNA from 1 species